rnacentral:rRNA from 1 species
AGAGCGAACGCUGGCGGCAGGCUUAACACAUGCAAGUCGAGCGGGCGUAGCAAUACGUCAGCGGCAGACGGGUGAGUAACGCGUGGGAACGUACCUUUUGGUUCGGAACAACACAGGGAAACUUGUAGCUAAUACCGGAUAAGCCCUUACGGGGAAAGAUUUAUCGCCAAAAGAUCGGCCCGCGUCUGAUUAGCUAGUUGGUGAGGUAACGGCUCACCAAGGCGACGAUCAGUAGCUGGUCUGAGAGGAUGAUCAGCCACAUUGGGACUGAGACACGGCCCAAACUCCUACGGGAGGCAGCAGUGGGGAAUAUUGGACAAUGGGCGCAAGCCUGAUCCAGCCAUGCCGCGUGAGUGAUGAAGGCCCUAGGGUUGUAAAGCUCUUUUGUGCGGGAAGAUAAUGACGGUACCGCAAGAAUAAGCCCCGGCUAACUUCGCGUCAGCAGCCGC